AGCGAACGCUGGCGGCAGGCUUAACACAUGCAAGUCGAGCGGGCAUAGCAAUAUGUCAGCGGCAGACGGGUGAGUAACGCGUGGGAACGUACCUUUUGGUUCGGAACAACUGAGGGAAACUUCAGCUAAUACCGGAUAAGCCCUUACGGGGAAAGAUUUAUCGCCAAAGAUCGGCCCGCGUCUGAUUAGCUAGUUGGUGAGGUAAUGGCUCACCAAGGCGACGAUCAGUAGCUGGUCUGAGAGGAUGAUCAGCCACAUUGGGACUGAGACACGGCCCAAACUCCUACGGGAGGCAGCAGUGGGGAAUAUUGGACAAUGGGCGCAAGCCUGAUCCAGCCAUGCCGCGUGAGUGAUGAAGGCCCUAGGGUUGUAAAGCUCUUUUGUGCGGGAAGAUAAUGACGGUACCGCAAGAAUAAGCCCCGGCUAACUUCGUG
rnacentral:rRNA from 1 species